rnacentral:rRNA from 1 species
AUGAUUAUGAUUAUUAUUUUGUUAUGGACUAACCUGUUAUAUUAUUUGAAUUAUCGAGUAUCCUUUGGAUGGUUUUACCUCCUGGAUAUUCACUAUGAUUAUUUACUUUAUAAGCCCUUUAUGUGGUGUCGCUCAGACGCCAGACUGUGGCAUGUUGUUAUUUAUUUUCUUUAUAAGCCCUUUAUGUGGUGUCGCUCAGACGCCCGAUUGUGGCAUGUUGUUAUUUAUUUUCUUUAUAAGCCCUUUAUGUGGUGUCGCUCAGACGCCCGACUGUGGCAUGCUAUUAUUUAUUUUCUUUAUAAGCCCUUUAUGUGGUGUCGCUCAGACGCCCGACUGUGGCAUGUUGUUAUUUAUUUUCUUUAUAAGCCCUUUAUGUGGUGUCGCUCAGACGCCCGACUGUGGCAUGCUAUUGUUUAUUUAUUUUAUAAGCCCUUUAUGUGGUGUCGCUCAGAUGCCCGACUGAGGCAUUUCUCUUUGUUUGCUAACCUUUCGAGGCGUCGCUUCAGACACCCGAUCGGUGCAUUUUAUAAUUAA